rnacentral:rRNA from 1 species
UACCGUGAGGGAAAGGUUAAAAGAACCCCGGAAGGGGAGUGAAAUAGAACCUGAAAUUGUAUGCGUACAAGGAGUCGGAGCCAAUUUAUUUGGUGACGGCGUGCUUUUUGUAGAACGAUCCAGCGAGUUAUUUGCUGUUGCAGCUUAAGGCAUCUGCCGGAGGCAUAGUGAAAGCGAGGCUGAAUAGGCCGACUAGUAGCAGUAAAUAGACCCGAAACCGGGUGACCUAACCAUGGGCAGGCUGAAGCGCAGGUAAAACUGCGUGGAGGGCCGAACCGUAGAGAAUUGCAAAACUCCCGGAUGACCUGUGGUUAGAGGUGAAAUGCCAAUCGAACUCGGAGAUAGCUGGUUCUCCUCGAAAUAGCUUUAGGGCUAGCGUUGUACGGUAGCUGGUAGGGGUAGAGCUCUGUUUCGGACUGGGGCCCGCAAGGGUACCCACCCUUGACAAACUACGAAUACUACCAGUGGAACUACAGCAGUUAGAACGGCGGGGCUAAGCUCGUCGCUCAAAAGGGAAACAGCCCAGACCAUCAUCUAAGGUCCCUAAAUAUAUGCUAAGUGGGAAACGAGGUGAGAUUUCUUAAACAACUAGGAUGUUGGCUUAGAAGCAGCCAUUCAUUUAAAGAGUGCGUAACAGCUCACUAGUCAAGAGAUCUUGCGCGGAAAAUGUAACGGGGCUCAAGCAUAUUACCGAAGCUGCGGAUGCCAGUGCUUCGCACUGGAUUUUUCAGAUAACUUUUUUCAUUUCUCAAUAAAUUUUCGUUUAACAUUUUUCAUUGCAGCCGCUUUGAUAAAUGUAAAAGCGAUGAACAAUUGUGAAAUGUGAAUUGUAAAAUGGAAAUUCCAAUGCGUAGCAUUGGUGUGGUAGAGGAGCGUUGAUAUCGCGCCGAAGCCAGAUCGUAAGGUCUGGUGGAGCGUUAUCAAGUGAGAAUGCUGGAAUGAGUAACCAUAAGGCAGGUGAGAAUCCUGCCCACCGAAAGAGCAAGGUUUCCUGGGCCACGGUAAUCGUCCCAGGGUUAGUCGGUCCUAAGCCGAGGCGCGUAGCGUAGGCGAUGGACAACGGGUUAAUAUUCCCGUACUGGUGUUGUAUUGUUUGGAGUGCGCGGCAUAUUAGCGCGGGCGGGUUCAUGGUUAUAUCCGUCUAAGUAGCAGAAACGGCUACGAAUGAAACGGCCUUCUGGGCUGGAUUUGCGUAAAAGUGCUGACUAGAAAAGCUUCCAAACGUGUGUGCAGCGCCAUCCGUACCACAAACCGACACAGGUGCUCAGGUCGAG